rnacentral:rRNA from 1 species
GGAGGGUGCAAGCGUUGUUCGGAAUUACUGGGCGUAAAGCGCGUGUAGGCGGUUCGCUAAGUCUGAUGUGAAAGCCCGAGGCCCACCCUCGGAAGUGCAUUGGAUACUGGUGAGCUAGAGUCCCGGAGAGGAGGGUGGAAUUCCUGGUGUAGCGGUGAAAUGCGUAGAUAUCAGGAGGAACACCGGCGGCGAAGGCGGCCCUCUGGACGGUGACUGACGCUGAGACGCGAAAGCGUGGGGAGCAAACAGGGAUUAGAUACCCUGGUAGUCCACGCCGUAAACGAUGAGCACUAGGUGUCGCGGGUAUUGACCCCCUGCGGUGCCGACGCUAACGCAUUAAGUGCUCCGCCCUGGGAGUACGGUCGCAAGAUUA